UGUUGUUCACCACGGGCACCACCACCUCCGUCAGGCGCGUCUCUAAGGGCCCGCCGUGCACCCUCAUCCCCCAGCCCGUGGCCACGCACUUGAUCCCCAGGAAGGUCUCCACGUCCAAGGGCGGCGCGUCAGCUGGCGUGGGUGAUGAGGGAGUGGACGCCCCGCACCUCCUCGGCCGGCCCCGUGGCGCCCCUGUCAUGGUCCCCAAGCACCACCUGCCACACUGCUGCCAUCCGCGUGAACGAGAAGGCCUUGCUGCAAUGAUAAGCCAGGAUUCGAAUCCCUCUGUUUUUGACUUGGUGGCGCAGUGGUUAGCGUGCUUGUCUGCUAACUGAAGGGACCUGUGUUCGAAACCCAAGCUUGAUGUAAAAUAAUUGGGUCUUUUACGCGGUAAGCCAAGACCCCGUAAACUUUGAUAGAAAUAAUUAUAAUAAUAGUAGUAGUAGUAGUAGUAGAUGGAGAAAGAUUAAUAACAGUAUGAAAAACGUUGUAGUAGUAGUAAUAGGAAGAAGGAUUGAGAAUGAUUGUAGUAGAAGAAAUAUUAGUAGUAAUAGUAGUAAUAGUAGUAAUAGGAAGAAGGACCAAGAAUAAUUGUAGUAGAAGAAAUACUAGUAGUAAGAAGAAAUAGUAGUAGCAGUAGUAGUAGUAGUAGUAGUAGAAGGAGAAAGAUUAAUAGUAGUAGUAGUAGUAGUACUGAUGAUAAAUUAUUCAUAUGAGAGAGAGAGAGAGAGAGAGAGAGAGAGAGAGCACCCAGAUCUACUUAUUCCUUGCAUCCCUCCGCUCUCCUCCUCUCUCUCCCCUCCCCCCUCCCUUCCCCUCCCCUCCCCUCCCCUCCCUUCAUCUCCCCUUCCCUGCCUCCCACCAGCCCCACUGAAUCCUCACUAACCCACCACCUCGCUUUCUCCUCGCAAAAACUAAGUAGUAGUAGUAGUAGUGGUAGUAGUGGUAAUAGUACAUAUUUUUUUCCCUCUCUCUUUUUUGCAAGUUUAUUAUUCUCUCUUUUUUAUUAUUUUUACUCAUUUAUUUAUUCAUUUAUUUGUUUUUUUUAUGAUUUCAGCAGAUUUUUUUUAUUUUCUUAUUUAUUGAUUUAUUUUAUCUUUUUAUUAUUUAUUUUUUAUUUUUAUUUAUCUAUUUUUUUUUUUUGUUAGGUCAUUAUUACUUUCCCUUUACUAAAACACAACACAAGCAAAUCAGAGUUCAAAUAUCACUCACUCCCUGCUUUAAUUUUUUUUUUAUCUUACUUUUCAUUUCUUUUUUGUUUCGUUUGUGUCACCCCCUGGACAUUACAGUUUGCGUUUUCUUCCUUUUCCUUUUUCUUUUUCCGAUAGUGGGUAGCGAAUCAGUGUUGCGCAGAGUCACGUGUGAAAGUUUACGUGACAUUUUUAUUUUCAUUCAGCUAAUCCGUAACUGAACUGUCUGGGGGAGAAAGAGAGGGAGAGGGAGACAGGGAGAGGGAGACAGGGAGAGGGAGACA